GGGAUUGCCUCAGUAACGGCGAGUGAAGCGGCAACAGCUCAAAUUUGAAAUCUGGCUCCUUCGGGGUCCGAGUUGUAAUUUGUAGAGAGUGUUUCGGGUGAGGCCGCGGUCUAAGUCCAUUGGAACAUGGCGUCAUAGAGGGUGAGAAUCCCGUAUGUGACCGUGGAUCGAGCCCAUGUGAAGCCUCUUCGACGAGUCGAGUUGUUUGGGAAUGCAGCUCAAAAUGGGUGGUAAAUUUCAUCUAAAGCUAAAUACUGGCUGGAGACCGAUAGCGCACAAGUAGAGUGAUCGAAAGAUGAAAAGCACUUUGGAAAGAGAGUGAAACAGUACGUGAAAUUGUUGAAAGGGAAGCGCUUGCAACCAGACCUGCCCGUAGGCGAUCAGCCGCUGUUCUCAGUGGUGCACUCGCUCUGCGAUCAGGCCAGCAUCGGUUUCGGCGGCCGGAUAAAGGCCUUGGGAAUGUAGCUCUCUUUUGGGGGAGUCUUAUAGCCCUCGGUGCAAUGCGGCCAGCCGGGACCGAGGACCGCGCUUCGGCUAGGAUGCUGGCGUAAUGGUUGUAAGCGACCCGUCUUGAAACACGGACCAAGGAGUCUAACAUCUAUGCGAGUGUUUGGGUGUUAAACCCAUGCGCGGAAUGAAAGUGAACGGAGGUGAGAACCCUUAAGGGCGCAUCAUCGACCGAUCCAGAUGUCUUCGGAUGGAUUUGAGUAUGAGCAUAGCUGUUGGGACCCGAAAGAUGGUGAACUAUGCCUGAAUAGGGUGAAGCCAGAGGAAACUCUGGUGGAGGCUCGCAGCGGUUCUGACGUGCAAAUCGAUCGUCAAAUUUGGGCAUAGGGGCGAAAGACUAAUCGAACCA
rnacentral:rRNA from 1 species